AUUGAACGCUGGCGGGAUGCUUUACACAUGCAAGUCGAACGAGCGGCGGACGGGUGAGUAAUGUAUGGGGACUGCCCGAUAGAGGGGGAUAACUACUGGAAACGGUAGCUAAUACCGCAUACUAUCGGAUAACCCAUAUGGGAUUAGAUAGUAGGUGAGGUAAUGCCUCACCUCGGCGACGAUCCCUAGCGGGUCUGAGAGAAUGAGCAGCCACACUGGAACUGAGACACAGCCCAGACCCCUAGGGAGGCAGCAGUUGGGAAUAUUGCACAAGGGGCGCAAGCCUGAUGCGGCCAUUCCGAGUGUAUGGAGAAGGCCCUAGGGUUGUAAAGUACUUUCAGUCGGGAGGCGUUACCGACAGAAGAAGCACCGGCUAACUCCGUGCCAGCCGCCGCGGUAAUUC
rnacentral:rRNA from 1 species